UACGGAGGGGGUUAGCGUUGUUCGGAAUUACUGGGCGUAAAGCGCACGCAGGCGGUCAUGUAAGUCGGGUGUGAAAUCCCCGGGCUCAACCUGGGAACUGCAUUCGAGACUGCAUGGCUAGAGUACGGUAGAGGAGGGCGGAAUUCCAGGUGUAGCGGUGAAAUGCGUAGAUAUCGGGAGGAACAUCAGUGGCGAAGGCGGCCCUCUGGACCAGUACUGACGCUCAGGUGAGAAAGCGUGGGGAGCAAACAGG
rnacentral:rRNA from 1 species